CUGUGAGGGAAAGGCGGCAGGCGGACUUCAAGCAGCCUCCGGGGACGCGCUUGAACUUAAAGGGGAGCUCAGCGUGAACAUCUUGAUGGAAGCUGUCAUAAGGAUACAGUGGUGGCAAAUAGGGAAGUGCGAUACAUCUGGUUACAUCCUGUCAUAAAAGCAGAGAUUGUCUUGGGUUGGAAGGGACCCUGAGGAUCAUCAAGUUCCAACCCCCUGCUACUGGCUGGGCCACUGAUCUCCAGAUCUGGUACUAGACCAGGUUGCCUGGCGCCCCAUCCCCUCCAGGGAUGAAACAUCCACAACCUCUCUGGACAGCUUGUUCCAGCACCUCACCGUUCUCUCCAUGAAGGACUUCCCCCUGACAUCCAAUCUAAACUUUCCCUCCUUGAGCUUAAAACCAUUCCCCCUUGUCCUGUCACUGUCUUGUAAGGUCUGCCUAACACAUCCAGAACAUGUUUAUUAUGUUUCUACCAGUCUCAAGAAAUCUGGGUGGGAUUAAAUGACCCAAUUUAGUGUUCUUCUCUAGAUAGGGUGGUUACAGUGUGGCCACUGAGCCAGCAGCUGUCUGCUCAUAUGGCCUAACGGUGUGCGCUGUCUUUAGUUGGGCUGCAUGCUGACAGUUCCCUUGUGUGUCUGGGAGCAGUGUAAGGGAACAAAUCAAGGGCUGCUGUUGUGGAAAUGGAGCACAAUUCUGAAUACUGACGAAGGGCAGGAUGUGGGACCAUAAGCUUGUUGGAAACUGUGCUCCACCAAUUGUUUUGCUUCUUAAAUAGAUUAAGGCUCCUCUUAAGACUUGUGCAGUUGUUUCUAGGUAGCAACAGAUGUUGGAGUGCAAUGUUCUGUUGAAGAUGAUGUGCUCAUAGUUUUUCUUGAAAUCCUCUAAGGCAGAUGGCUUGCAACGACCACCAAGCAGAGCUUCAGAGAAUGUUUUGUUAUUUUGCUAUUCUGAUUCACUGCAGGAAUUCAUCAAUCUAUUUUUCUCAUAAUACAAAGUCAUCUGUCGGCAUGUAGUGGUGACUGCUUUGUUGAUCUCUUGACCAAUAUUUGGAGGUCUUGGCAAGUGUUUAACCUGGCAAAACUUCUAAAAGUGAUUUGUAACCAUGGAAGUCCAAAAGCCUUUGAAAAGCAUUCAUGUAUGUGCUUUAUAAAGCUAAAUUAUUUUAGCUCUUUUGUUGUCUGAAAAAAUGACUUGAUGACUGACUUUGUGUGAAAGUGGGGUGGGCAAUAGUGAACCUUACAGCCAGGGGGGUUGCAGUAAAGUGGCUGACACCAUAAAUUAUGUCACUAUUGAAAAUGUUCUAUUUAAAGCUUUCUGUCCUGGCACUGGUUAUCCAAGUUUAUGUUGAAAAUUAUUCUGUAGUAAAAAAAAAUGUAGCUGUAUUGUUGCU
ensembl:lncRNA